rnacentral:rRNA from 1 species
GAGUUUGAUCCUGGCUCAGAUUGAACGCUGGCGGCAGGCCUAACACAUGCAAGUCGAGCGGAAACGAGUUAACUGAACCUUCGGGGAACGUUAACGGCGUCGAGCGGCGGACGGGUGAGUAAUGCCUGGGAAAUUGCCCUGAUGUGGGGGAUAACCAUUGGAAACGAUGGCUAAUACCGCAUAAUAGCUUCGGCUCAAAGAGGGGGACCUUCGGGCCUCUCGCGUCAGGAUAUGCCCAGGUGGGAUUAGCUAGUUGGUGAGGUAAUGGCUCACCAAGGCGACGAUCCCUAGCUGGUCUGAGAGGAUGAUCAGCCACACUGGAACUGAGACACGGUCCAGACUCCUACGGGAGGCAGCAGUGGGGAAUAUUGCACAAUGGGCGCAAGCCUGAUGCAGCCAUGCCGCGUGUAUGAAGAAGGCCUUCGGGUUGUAAAGUACUUUCAGCAGUGAGGAAGGUGGAUAUCUUAAUAGCAUAUUCAUUUGACUCA